CAAUAGCGUAUAUUAAUGUUGUUGCAGUUAAAAAGCUCGUAGUUGGAUUUCUGGGAGGGUGCCGAUGUCCGCGCAACGUGAGUGCAGCGGCGCCCUCUCAUCCUUCUGUUAGCGUCUCUUGGCAUUCAUUUGCUGGUGGCGGGCUCAGAUAUUUUACCUUGAGAAAAUUAGAGUGUUUCAGGCAGGCUAGGCCGGAAUACAUUAGCAUGGAAUAAUAGAAUAGGACUACGGUCUCUUUGUUGGUUUGAGGGACUGCAGUAAUGAUUAAUAGGGAUAGUUGGGGGCAUUAGUACUUAACUGUCAGAGGUGGAAUUCUCAGAUUUGUUAAAGACUGACUUAUGCGAAAGCAUUUGCCAAGGAUGUUUUCAUUA
rnacentral:rRNA from 1 species